GGAAGGGUUAAUAAACAGGACAUUCCAUGCUGGUAUUGGAAGGGUUAAUAAACAGGACAUUCCAUGCUGGUAUAGGAAGGGUCAGUAAACAGGACAUUCCAUGCUGGUAUAGGAAGGGUCAAUAAACAGGACAUUCCAUGCUGGUAUAGGAAGGGUCAGUAAACAGGACAUUCCGUGCUGGUAUAGGAAGGGUUAAUAAACAGGACAUUCCAUGCUGGUAUAUAGGUUAUUUUCAAUGAGCAGCUCAUGUAGCAUUGGGUCCUUAAUAAAGUAUAUUAUAUUUUAACCCUGCAGGUGUCAGACAUUCCGCCAUGCCACACAUACCCCCAACAUUUCAUAUGGACAUUGAGGUAAUCAUUUAGGGAUGGG